GACGAACGCUGGCGGCGUGCCUAAUACAUGCAAGUCGAGCGGAACUGGGGGAGCUUGCUCCUUCCAGUUUAGCGGCGGACGGGUGAGUAACACGUGGGCAACCUGCCCUGCAGAUCGGGAUAACUCCGGGAAACCGGUGCUAAUACCGAAUAGUUUGGCGCCUCUCCUGAGGCGCUACGGAAAGACGGUUUCGGCUGUCACUGCAGGAUGGGCCCGCGGCGCAUUAGCUAGUUGGUGGGGUAACGGCCCACCAAGGCGACGAUGCGUAGCCGACCUGAGAGGGUGACCGGCCACACUGGGACUGAGACACGGCCCAGACUCCUACGGGAGGCAGCAGUAGGGAAUCUUCCGCAAUGGACGCAAGUCUGACGGAGCAACGCCGCGUGAGUGACGAAGGUUUUCGGAUCGUAAAACUCUGUCGUGAGGGAGGAACACGUACCAACUAACUAUUGGUACCUUGACGGUACCUCGCCAGAAAGCCACGGCUAACUACGUGCCAGCCGCCGCGGUAA
rnacentral:rRNA from 1 species